AAGACUUCAGCCCAAUUCUGUAUUCCUUUCUGAGGAAAUCUCUGGGAAGAGUACUACUACUUGAUUUCCCUUCUAGAAACCUUUAUUUUAAACACUAAGAAAUCUCUUCAUUUGUCUGUUGUUUUUUUUUCUUUCUCGUAGGUUGUUACAAAGCUAAGCUGCAAAUAUAGAAAUGGAAUACUUGUGAGUACAAUGUAUUUUAAUACUUAGAGCCUCAGUCACAAAACUAGAUCCACAGAGUUCUUUCAGGUUCCUAUCUGUGCUCAUUCAUGAUGAGUGAGGAAAUAACCACCAGAUAUCUGAUGGCCAGGUAUAGAGUUGUAUAGACCUGAAAAACUCAAUUUGCUCUGAAAUGUUUGCUACCAAAGGGAACUUUUCAGAUAGUUCAGAGGCUGUGGACAGUAAUAGUUACAGGUGCCACUGUGAUCCCUUAUCAGCUAUACUCCAUGCUCAACUGUGUG
rnacentral:lncRNA from 1 species